rnacentral:rRNA from 1 species
GGAAUAUUCCACAAUGGGCGAAAGCCUGAUGGAGCGACGCCGCGUGAGUGAAGAAGGGCUUCGGCUCGUAAAGCUCUUUUCUCGUUGACGAAUUAGCUUUCGGAGCAGUUGACGGUAGACGGGGAAUAAGCCACGGCUAACUACGUGCCAGCAGCCGCGGUAAUACGUAGGUGGCAAGCGUUGUCCGGAAUUAUUGGGCGUAAAGGGAGCGCAGGCGGGACGGUAAGUCCAAAUUAAAAGUGCAGUAGUAAUGACUGUGAUGGUUUGGAAACUAUCGUUCUUGAGAGCAGGAGAGGCAAGCGGAAUUCCCAGUGUAGCGGUGAAAUGCGUAGAUAUUGGGAGGAACACCAGUGGCGAAGGCGGCUUGCUGGACUGAGUCUGACGCUGAGGCUCGAAAGCCGGGGGAGCAAACA